rnacentral:rRNA from 1 species
AUGAAGCAGUUCGUGCUGGCGAAGCUCAGAAGCAUCAAGGCCCCCGCCGACGUGCUGGGAGCUGUUGAGAGGAGCGAGAUGAACGACGUCCUCGUGGCGCCGCUGCGGUACCGUCCCCCGCUGUCGCUCCUGUUCGCCAGCAUCAGCAAGAGGAACGUGUGCGUCGCCGGCGACGCGCUCCACCCGACGACGCCGGACCUGGCGCAGGGCGCGUGCGUCGUGCUGGAGGACGCGGUCGUCCUUGCGCGGUGCCUCGGCGACGCCAUCGUCGGGAAGGAACGGGAGUCGGUCGAGGCGGCUCUGCGCCGGUACGCCGGGAUCCGGCGAUGGAGGAGCGCGCAGGUGAUCGCGGCGUCCUAUAUGGUGGGGCUGGUGCAGCAGAGCGAUCACGCCGUGGUGAGGUUUGCACGGGACAGGCUGCUGUCCGGGAUGCUCGCCAAGGGGCUCCUCAUGAUGCCGGAUUAG